AAGACUCGAUCUUUGGGUCCGUCCAACAACAUCUGGCACGCUCGCUCGCUCCACUGAUGGUCUCAUCGACGCCAUCAUGGCUUCCACGACAAGUUACGAUACCAGAAAUCUUCGAGCGAACACACAGGAACACAUAAAGAAAGCAAUCACCCAAACAAUCUGGCGAGCAAAGACGCAAGAACACAUCAAGAAAAAAACCACCCAUGCAAGAACCCAGUUUUAUUCACGCUAUUUGCAGGCUCAGAUCUCCAGUUCCAGCUCUUCCAGAUGGAUUCCUCCGUGCACUCUCGCUUUGUUAUCUGUUUAGAAGCAAACACGAGGUUUGUAUACAGACAAAAAGUUGUAAGAGUUAACCUCUUUCGAGUUUUCGUUGAAUCCCGCAAA